GUUAUCCGACUCUGUUGCCUCCGGGGCGACCCUGCCUUCGGGCGGGGGCUCCGGGUGGACACUUCAAACUCUUGCGUAACUUUGCAGUCUGAGUAAACUUAAUUAAUAAAUUAAAACUUUUAACAACGGAUCUCUUGGUUCUGGCAUCGAUGAAGAACGCAGCGAAAUGCGAUAAGUAAUGUGAAUUGCAGAAUUCAGUGAAUCAUCGAAUCUUUGAACGCACAUUGCGCCCCCUGGUAUUCCGGGGGGCAUGCCUGUUCGAGCGUCAUUUCACCACUCAAGCCUCGCUUGGUAUUGGGCAUCGCGGUCCGCCGCGUGCCUCAAAUCGACCGGCUGGGUCUUCUGUCCCCUAAGCGUUGUGGAAACUAUUCGCUAAAGGGUGUUCGGGAGGCUACGCCGUAAAACAACCCCAUUUCUAAGGUUGACCUCGGAUCAGGUAGGGAUACCCGCUGAACUUAAGCAUAUCAAUAA
rnacentral:misc_RNA from 1 species